GAUGAACGCUGGCGGCGUGCCUAACACAUGCAAGUCGAACGGCAGGACAGUAAGAGCGUUCCCCUACUGGUGACGGGGGGCGGACGAGUGAGGAGUACAUCGCAAUCUUCUUGGACGUGGGUGAUAACGUGGGGCCACUUCCGCUAAUGACUAAUACGUCCAACGGGUGAGGUCAGGAGAUCUUGGGGCCUUGGGUGGUCCCAUGAGCUGAUGUCGGAUUGGCUAGUUGAGGGGGUAACGGCCCACCAAGGCGACGCUCGGUUGCGGGUCUGAGAGGAUGAUCGGCCACACUGGAAGUGAGACACGGUCCAGACGCCUACGGGAGGCAGCAGUGGGGAAUAUGGGACAAUGGGCGGAAGCCUGAUCCAGCCAGACCGCGUGGGUGAAGAAGGCCUUCGGUGUGUAAAGCCCUUUUGUUGGGAAAGAACAGCUGCCGGUUAAUACGCCGCGGUAGUGACGGUACCUAAAGAAUAAGCACCGGCUAACUACGUG
rnacentral:rRNA from 1 species